UAUCCGUCGUGGGCGUAGGAAAUUUGAGAGGAGCUGUCCUUAGUACGAGAGGACCGGGAUGGACGCACCGCUGGUGUACCAGUUGUUCUGCCAAGGGCAUAGCUGGGUAGCUAUGUGCGGAAGGGAUAAGUGCUGAAAGCAUCUAAGCAUGAAGCCCCCCUCAAGAUGAGAUUUCCCAUAGCGUAAGCUAGUAAGAUCCCUGAAAGAUGAUCAGGUUGAUAGGUUCGAGGUGGAAGCAUGGUGACAUGUGGAGCUGACGAAUACUAAUAGAUCGAGGACUUAACCAUAUAA
rnacentral:rRNA from 3 species